UGUCUUGAUACCAAGGGCCAAGCCCUCC
rnacentral:piRNA from 1 species